GACAGAGGGUGCAAACGUUGUUCGGAUUUACUGGGCGUAAAGCGCGUGUAGGCGGCUUUGCAAGUCGGAUGUGAAAGCCCCACGGCUCAACCGUGGAAGUGCAUCCGAAACUGCAUGGCUUGAGUCUCGGGAGAGGGAAGGUGGAAUGCUUGGUGUAGAGGUGAAAUUCGUAGAUAUCAAGCAGAACACCUGCGGCGAAGGCGGCCUUCUGGACGAUGACUGACGCUGAGACGCGAAAGCGUGGGAGCAACAGG
rnacentral:rRNA from 1 species